rnacentral:rRNA from 1 species
GGGUUUGUCGGUUGGUCGGGCUUCACUGUCCGCACUGGCCUGAUGGAUUCCUACCUUCUGAAUAACCAGCAUGCUAUUAAUUUAGUGCGUUGGGGAAGCAGAGCUAUUACCUUGAAAAAAUUAGAGUGCUUAAAGCAGGCUUAUGCUUGAAUAGAUUAGCAUGGAAUAAUAAAAUAGGACGGCAUGGUUCUAUUUUGUUGGUUUCUAGGAUCACCGUA